AUUGAACGCUGGCGGAAUGCUUUACACAUGCAAGUCGAACGGCAGCAUAGAGAGCUUGCUCUCUGAUGGCGAGUGGCGAACGGGUGAGUAAUAUAUCGGAACGUGCCUAGUAAUGGGGAAUAACUAGCUGAAAGGUUAGCUAAUGCCGCAUACGACCUACGGGUGAAAGCAGGGGAUCUUCGGACCUUGCGUUAUUAGAGCGGCCGAUAUCUGAUUAGCUUGUUGGUGGGGUAAUGGCCUACCAAGGCGACGAUCAGUAGCUGGUCUGAGAGGACGAUCAGCCACACUGGAACUGAGACACGGUCCAGACUCCUACGGGAGGCAGCAGUGGGGAAUUUUGGACAAUGGGGGCAACCCUGAUCCAGCCAUUCCGCGUGAGUGAAGAAGGCCUUCGGGUUGUAAAGCUCUUUCGCAAGAGAAGAAAACUUGCUAUCUAAUAAAUAGUAAGUAUGACGGUAUCUUGACAAGAAGCACCGGCUAACUACGUGCCAGCAGCCGCGGUAAUACGUAGGGUGCAAGCGUUAAUCGGAAUUACUGGGCGUAAAGCGUGCGCAGGCAGUUUUAUAAGUCAGAUGUGAAAUCCCCGAGCUCAACUUGGGAACUGCGUUUGAAACUAUAAGACUAGAGUGUGUCAGAGGGGGGUAGAAUUCCAAGUGUAGCAGUGAAAUGCGUAGAGAUUUGGAGGAAUACCAAUGGCGAAGGCAGCCCCCUGGGAUAACACUGACGCUCAUGCA
rnacentral:rRNA from 1 species